GCAGGCCGAGCGGUAGAGAGGUGCUUGCACCUCUUGAGAGCGGCGGACGGGUGAGUAAAGCCUAGGAAUCUGCCUGGUAGUGGGGGAUAACGCUCGGAAACGGACGCUAAUACCGCAUACGUCCUACGGGAGAAAGCAGGGGACCUUCGGGCCUUGCGCUAUCAGAUGAGCCUAGGUCGGAUUAGCUAGUUGGUGAGGUAAUGGCUCACCAAGGCGACGAUCCGUAACUGGUCUGAGAGGAUGAUCAGUCACACUGGAACUGAGACACGGUCCAGACUCCUACGGGAGGCAGCAGUGGGGAAUAUUGGACAAUGGGCGAAAGCCUGAUCCAGCCAUGCCGCGUGUGUGAAGAAGGUCUUCGGAUUGUAAAGCACUUUAAGUUGGGAGGAAGGGCAUUAACCUAAUACGUUAGUGUUUUGACGUUACCGACAGAAUAAGCACCGGCUAACUCUGUGCCAGCAGCCGCGGUAAUACAGAGGGUGCAAGCGUUAAUCGGAAUUACUGGGCGUAAAGCGCGCGUAGGUGGUUCGUUAAGUUGGAUGUGAAAUCCCCGGGCUCAACCUGGGAACUGCAUUCAAAACUGUCGAGCUAGAGUAUGGUAGAGGGUGGUGGAAUUUCCU
rnacentral:rRNA from 1 species